UCACAACAGUCAAACGUGAGAGGGCAGCCUAGAUGUGCCUAGUGGCUGAAGAACAACAUCUGGCCGGCAAACCAAGUUGCAGAGUACAUGAAGGAGACCGCGAUCCAGAGGGCUCAGUGGACCAGACAGAAUGGGGUCGAGAUAGUCAGAGAGUAUCCGCGUCUGCUGGAUACUCUAAGCAUGAUUGCACAGGACUUCUCCAUUUUGAACCCGGACUGCUCGGGGAAACUCACUGAGAACUGGAUCGUGGUCUUCAAGGACAAAAAACUUUGCUUCGCCAGCUGAGAGAACCAGGCCCAAUAUUUUUUCUUUGAAGUGCAGAUACACAAGGUGAUAUCGCUUUAAGACUUCUGCCAGAGGUCCUCCCAACACAAGUCUACAAGAUUGGCAGGAAGACAUUCCGACCCAGCUUUGAAGAGACCAGAAAGUCCUUCAUUGACUUGUAGCCUGUAAAUUUAAAUAAUGGAUAGGCAUAGGGAGAUUGAUGGGGAAAUUAGAUUAUAGCAUUUGUAAACCUUGAAUGAAAGGAACAGCAUUCCAAAAUAUGUUAUGCAUAACUGCACACUCCAAGACAUUGGUGUGUAACAGCCCCAAAUUAAUGGAAGAUGUAGACAUCAAACAGGGAUUGGGUGUUUUAUAUUGAUGUAAAUGGCUAUAUAGUAUCAAAAAUAAAUGGUGUGUGAUUGCAUUGUCAGUGUGCCUCCAUGCUUUGCACAAGUAAAAUCAAAUGAUUUCUAUCUAACAGCAUGGUUGAGUACCUACGCCAGGCGGAGGUGACCAGACCCUACCCAUUUGUGUUGACUCUUGGGGACUGCUCACAGUUCUUUACAGUCAUUAGUGGACAGGCAUUGGAGCAAGGUGCAUUGCUUGGGGCACUGGAUGUGUGCUUCAAGUCCUAUUAUGUGUUUGAUAUCAACUUUUCCAGACUGUGCCCCAGCAUGGGAAUUCCUACAGACCACGGUGUAUCAGCUGCUAGGAACAGAAUACCCUGCAGUAAGACUGUUGCGAGCAUGUCUUUUUUUCGACUGAACAAUAGUGGAUAAGUAUCUACUCUUGUAUGUAGUGUGAGAAGUGACAGGAGGCAGUGUUUUGUUCCUGUGAAUUAAUAGAUCAAUGGAUGGAUGAGCCAUUAGUGGCUCUCUGAUUCAGAGGUGUUGGAUUAAAUGCGGAAGACACAUUUCGACAAUACUCUUAAGGCACUAUUUAUAGCUCUGUUAAAUUGACUUUUAGUUUGUUUUAAUGCAUUUGUGCCAACUUUUUGCCACCUGUACGGUAUGUGCUUGUUUGCCUUUAGUUCAACUACUGUUGCACAUAAAUCUUUAAAUAUUUCUAUGCUUUUUAUAUAUAAUGAAAUGUUUUGUUCAAGCUGGGCUGAAGCGCGUUCUGGUACACUUUCAUUCUAUCACAACAAUUUAUUUUCAAUUAAAAUGUUACAUUUU